GACUGAAUUGAACAAGGGAUGAACUGA
rnacentral:piRNA from 1 species